rnacentral:rRNA from 1 species
CCCUUAGAUGUUCUGGGCCGCACGCGCGCUACACUGUUCGACGCAGCGAGUCUUAACCUUGACCGAAAGGUUUGGGUAAUCUUCAGCAAAGUCGAACGUGAUGGGGAUCGAUCAUUGCAAUUAUUGAUCGUGAACGAGGAAUCCCUAGUAAGUGCAAGUCAUCAGCUUGCGCUGAUUACGUCCCUGCCCUUUGUACACACCGCCCGUCGCUACUACCGAUUGAAUGGUUUAGUGAGAUCUCUGGAUUGACGCUGGCUAGGGGGCGACCCUUGGCCAGACUGCUCGAGAAACUGCUCAAACUUGAUCAUUUAGAGGAAGUAAAAGUCGUAACA